rnacentral:rRNA from 1 species
AAGACCUUGCGCUUUUGGAGCGGCCGAUGCCUGAUUAGCUUGUUGGUAAGGUAAAAGCUUACCAAGGCUUCGAUCAGUAGCUGGUCUGAGAGGACGGCCAGCCACACUGGGACUGAGACACGGCCCAGACUCCUACGGGAGGCAGCAGUGGGGAAUUUUGGACAAUGGGGGCAACCCUGAUCCAGCCAUGCCGCGUGAGUGAAGAAGGCCUUCGGGUUGUAAAGCUCUUUCAGCCGGAACGAAACGGUUACGGUUAAUACCCGUGACUACUGACGGUACCGGAAGAAGAAGCACCGGCUAACUACGUGCCAGCAGCCGCGGUAAUACGUAGGGUGCGAGCGUUAAUCGGAAUUACUGGGCGUAAAGCGUGCGCAGGUGGUUUUGUAAGUCAGAUGCGAAAGCCCCGGGCUCAACCUGGGAACU